GGGCCCUGUGGGAUUUCUCAGGACACUCUGGGCAGCUGCCCCUUCAGCAUUUGUUCAUUUCCAAAGCCAGACCUGAGGUUUCCAAAGGUUGAACCGAGGACAAGACCCAGAGAUUGGGAUCCUUCCCAGAGACUGGGAUUGUUCUUAGAGGUUGUGAUUGUUCCCAGAUAUUGGGAUCAUUCCCAGAGAUUGGGAUUGUUCCAGGACAUUAAAUGUGAUCUGAAACACGGAGUGGUCUGGGGUGUACUGAGAGGGAAACCCGGCACCAAAACACCUAAACCCAAACCUAAACCUAAACCCAAACCCCAAACCNCGGGGCACCGGGAGAACCGGGAGCAGCACCGGGAUCCCCAUCCCGGUGUCGGGGUGGCCGCGCUGGGCGGAGCAGAGGCUCCAAACCCCAAUGAAAUCCUAAUUCCGCAGCGCCGGGAGCCGCCCCGGCUGCGGAGAAGCGCUGUGGGGCGGGGAUUGGGGCCCCAAAUCGGCCUCUGGACAGUGGGAUUGGCCCGGGGGGUUUGGGAUUGGCAAAAGGGGUUUGGGAUUGGAUAGAGGGAUUUGGGAUUGGGCAGAGGGGUUGGGGUUGGCAAAAGGGGUUUGGGAUUGGCCAGAGGUGUGAGCACCUUUGGGACUGGGGAGCCUGUGGGGUUUGGGAUGGAGGGACCUGUGGGGUCUGUGGAAUUUCUCAGGAAGCUACGUGGGAUUUGGGCUCUGUGGGGUUUGGGCUCUGUGGGGUUUGGGCUCUGUGGGGUUUGGGCUCUGUGGGGUUUGGGCUCUGUGGGGUUUGGGCUCUGUGGGGUUUGGGCUCUGUGGGGUUUGGGCUCUGUGGGGUUUGGGCUCUGUGGGGUUUGGGCUCUGUGGGGUUUGGGCUCUGUGGGGUUUGGGCUCUGUGGGGUUUGGGCUCUGUGGGGUUUGGGCUCUGUGGGGUUUGGGCUCUGUGGGGUUUGGGCUCUGUGGGGUUUGGGCUCUGUGGGGUUUGGGCUCUGUGGGGUUUGGGCUCUAUGGGAUUUGGGCUCUGUAGGAUUUCUUAGGAGGUUCUGUGGGGUUUGGACUCUGUGGGAUUUGGGCUCUGUGGGGUUUGGGCUCUGUGGGGUUUGGGCUCUCUGGCAUCUCUCAGGAGGCUCUGUGGGGUUUGGGCUCUGUGGGAUUUGGGCUCUAUGGGAUUUGGGCUCUGUAGGAUUUCUUAGGAGGUUCUGUGGGGUUUGGGCACUGUGGAGUUUGGGCUCUCUGGCAUCUCUCAGGAGGCUCUGUGGGAUUUGGGCUCUGUGGGUUUUGGACUCUGGGAUUUGGGCUCUAUGGGAUUUGGGCUCUGUAGGAUUUCUUAGGAGGUUCUGUGGGGUUUGGGCUCUGAGGGGUUUGGGCUUUCUGGCAUCUCUCAGGAGGCUCUGUGGGGUUUGGGCUCUGUGGGAUUUGGGCUCUAUGGGAUUUGGGCUCUGUAGGAUUUCUUAGGAGGUUCUGUGGGGUUUGGGCGGGGGGGGGGGGGGGGGGGGGGGGGGGGGGGGGGGGGGGGGGGGGGG
rnacentral:lncRNA from 12 species